AAGGGUUUGAGUAUGAGGAAAAAGGUGAUUUUGCAACCUCACCAAAGCAUUUCAGGUAAGAACCAUAUCCUUGAAUUGCCCUUUUGGACCAAAAUUAAGCCUUUUGUGUGAUGGUUUAUCAUAUGAUUGGGUUCUAUGUUUGAGCUUAUGGAUUGGUUCACGGUGGAUUUGAAUUGGCACGCAGAGUUGCUUGGGUGAAGCUGAUGACUGUGUGCAUUGCAGGACUAUAACAAAAUGGUGCAACUACAUCUAUUCGUGGACUUUGAAAUAGAAACGAGGUUUGCAUCUUUGAAUCGCCUCCACAGUAUUUCAAUUUCUUUCCCUUUUAUUAAUUUUGAUUGUAUUUCUCCCCUGUGAUGGGAUUGAACAUGGUAAUGGCAGGUGACUGUUUGUGCGUGAAUAAAGGCUUGCCAUUGCCCUUGCUGCUGUUGUGGGACAGAGCCAGU
rnacentral:lncRNA from 1 species